GUCGGUAGAGCAUCUGACUUUUAAUCAGAGGGUCGACAGUUCGAGCCUGUCACGACUCA
rnacentral:tRNA from 1 species